rnacentral:tRNA from 1 species
UUCAAAAGGUAAGGAAUCUGCCUGCAAUGCAGGAGACCCAGGUUCAAUCCCUGG